rnacentral:rRNA from 1 species
AAUGAACGCUGGCGGCAUGGCUAAGACAUGCAAGUCGAACGGACUAUGUUGAAGAGUAAUCCGAUUCAUAGUUAGUGGCGAAAGGGUGAGGAAUAGACAGGUAACGUACCUUUGGCUUCGGAAUAGCCUAUCGAAAGGUAGGGUAAUGCCGGAUGAUGUCAUCCGUAUAAUGCGGGUGACCAAAGAUUUAUCGGACAAAGAGCGGCCUGUUUCCUAUCAGCUUGUUGGUGAGGUAAUGGCUCACCAAGGCAACGACGGGUAGCGGGACUGAGAGGUUGGCCCGCCACAUCGGGACUGAGACACUGCCCGGACCUCCACGGAGGGCUGCAGUAACGAAUAUUGGGCAAUGGGCGAAAGCCUGACCCAGCAAUGCCGCGUGUAGGAUGAAGCUUUUCGGAGUGUAAACUACUUUCA